rnacentral:rRNA from 1 species
AAUUUUGGACAAUGGGGCAACCCUGAAUCAGUCAUUCCGCGUGUUUUAAUAACGCCCUCGGGGUGUAAAAUUCUUUUUGCAGAUAAGAAAAGGGAACUCCCAAUUCUAGAUUUCGCUGAACGUUUCCUGAGAAUUAUCAACGGCUAACUACGUGCCAGCAGCCGCCGUAAUACGUAGGGUGCAAGCGUUAAUCGGAAUUACUGGGCGUAAAGCGUGUGUAGGCGGUUCGGAAAGAAAGAUGUGAAAUCCCAGGGCUCAACCUUGGAACUGCAUUUUUAACUGCCGAGCUAGAGUAUGUCAGAGGGGGGUAGAAUUCCACGUGUAGCAGUGAAAUGCGUAGAUAUGUGGAGGAAUACCGAUGGCGAAGGCAGCCCCCUGGGAUAAUACUGACGCUCAGACACGAAAGCGUGGGGAGCAAACAG